UGGGGAAUAUUGGGCAAUGGGGAAACCCUGACCCAGCGACGCCGCGUGAGGGAAGAAGGUUUUCGGAUUGUUAAACCUCUGUACCUUGGUGACGAUAAUGACGGUAGCCAAGGAGGAAGCCACGGCUAACUACGUGCCAGCAGCCGCGGUAAUACGUAGGUGGCGAGCGUUGUCCGGAAUUACUGGGUGUAAAGGGAGCGUAGGCGGGAGAGCAAGUCGACUGUGAAAGCUAUGGGCUUAACCCAUAGAUGCGAUCGAAACUGUUCAUCUUGAGUGAAGUAGAGGCAGGCGGAAUUCCUAGUGUAGCGGUGAAAUGCGUAAAUAUUAGGAGGAACACCAGUGGCGAAGGCGGCCUGCUGGGCUUUAACUGACGCUGAGGCUCGAAAGCGUGGGUAGCAAACAGGAUUAGAUACCC
rnacentral:rRNA from 1 species